CCUUAUCUUUUGCAGGCUCUUCGUUACUUCCACAUGGCAGAGGAAGCUGACCCAAAUUUUUACAGCAAAAAUUUGCUCUUUCUGGGGAAGACAUACUUGAAGUUAAACAAUAAAAAGAUGGCUCUUCUGUGGUUAAGCAAAGCGAAGGAGUAUCCUGCACAUACAGAAGAGGACAAACAGGUACAGAAAGAAGCUUUGGAGUUGCUUAAUUCUAUAUAGCAAGAAAGAAGAUAAUGGGAAUUCAGUGCCUCAGGUUUGAGCAGCAUAGGAAAAAGACCCCAAAUACUACUUUUAUUGAAACUGUUAAUAAAAGUGAAACCUAAACCAGCUAUCUCCGUGUUGUUUCAAUCAAAGUGUCAACUGGAAGAUCUGUU